rnacentral:rRNA from 1 species
CCUACGGGCGGCAGCAGUGAGGAAUAUUGGUCAAUGGACGAGAGUCUGAACCAGCCAAGUAGCGUGAAGGAUGACUGCCCUAUGGGUUGUAAACUUCUUUUAUAAAGGAAUAAAACGAGGCACGUGUGCCUUUUUUCAUGUACUUUAUGAAUAAGGAUCGGCUAACUCCGUGCCAGCAGCCGCGGUAAUACGGAGGAUCCGAGCGUUAUCCGGAUUUAUUGGGUUUAAAGGGAGCGUAGAUGGGGUGUUAAGUCAGUUGUGAAAGUUUGCGGCUCAACCGUAAAAUUGCAAUUGAUACUGGCAGUCUUGAGUACAGUUGAGGUAGGCGGAAUUCGUGGUGUAGCGGUGAAAUGCUUAGAUAUCACGAAGAACCCCGAUUGCGAAGGCAGCUUACUAAACUGUGACUGACAUUGAUGCUCGAAAGUGUGGGUAUCAAACAGGAUUAGAUACCCGGGUAGUC